UAUUACAAUGAAGAGUUUGAUCCUGGCUCAGGAUGAACGCUAGCUACAGGCUUAACACAUGCAAGUCGAGGGGCAGCAUGGUCUUAGCUUGCUAAGGCCGAUGGCGACCGGCGCACGGGUGAGUAACACGUAUCCAACCUGCCGUCUACUCUUGGACAGCCUUCUGAAAGGAAGAUUAAUACAAGAUGGCAUCAUGAGUCCACAUGUUCACAUGAUUAAAGGUAUUCCGGUAGACGAUGGGGAUGCGUUCCAUUAGAUAGUAGGCGGGGUAACGGCCCACCUAGUCUUCGAUGGAUAGGGGUUCUGAGAGGAAGGUCCCCCACAUUGGAACUGAGACACGGUCCAAACUCCUACGGGAGGCAGCAGUGAGGAAUAUUGGUCAAUGGGCGAGAGCCUGAACCAGCCAAGUAGCGUGAAGGAUGACUGCCCUAUGGGUUGUAAACUUCUUUUAUAAAGGAAUAAAGUCGGGUAUGCAUACCCGUUUGCAUGUACUUUAUGAAUAAGGAUCGGCUAACUCCGUGCCAGCAGCCGCGGUAAUACGGAGGAUCCGAGCGUUAUCCGGAUUUAUUGGGUUUAAAGGGAGCGUAGAUGGAUGUUUAAGUCAGUUGUGAAAGUUUGCGGCUCAACCGUAAAAUUGCAGUUGAUACUGGAUAUCUUGAGUGCAGUUGAGGCAGGCGGAAUUCGUGGUGUAGCGGUGAAAUGCUUAGAUAUCACGAAGAACUCCGAUUGCGAAGGCAGCCUGCUAAGCUGCAACUGACAUUGAGGCUCGAAAGUGUGGGUAUCAAACAGGAUUAGAUACCCUGGUAGUCCACACGGUAAACGAUGAAUACUCGCUGUUUGCGAUAUACAGCAAGCGGCCAAGCGAAAGCGUUAAGUAUUCCACCUGGGGAGUACGCCGGCAACGGUGAAACUCAAAGGAAUUGACGGGGGCCCGCACAAGCGGAGGAACAUGUGGUUUAAUUCGAUGAUACGCGAGGAACCUUACCCGGGCUUAAAUUGCAGAUGAAUUACGGUGAAAGCCGUAAGCCGCAAGGCAUCUGUGAAGGUGCUGCAUGGUUGUCGUCAGCUCGUGCCGUGAGGUGUCGGCUUAAGUGCCAUAACGAGCGCAACCCUUGUUGUCAGUUACUAACAGGUUCCGCUGAGGACUCUGACAAGACUGCCAUCGUAAGAUGUGAGGAAGGUGGGGAUGACGUCAAAUCAGCACGGCCCUUACGUCCGGGGCUACACACGUGUUACAAUGGGGGGUACAGAGGGCCGCUACCACGCGAGUGGAUGCCAAUCCCAAAAACCUCUCUCAGUUCGGACUGGAGUCUGCAACCCGACUCCACGAAGCUGGAUUCGCUAGUAAUCGCGCAUCAGCCACGGCGCGGUGAAUACGUUCCCGGGCCUUGUACACACCGCCCGUCAAGCCAUGGGAGCCGGGGGUACCUGAAGUGCGUAACCGCGAGGAGCGCCCUAGGGUAAAACUGGUGACUGGGGCUAAGUCGUAACAAGGUAGCCGUACCGGAAGGUGCGGCUGGAACACCUCCUUUCU
rnacentral:rRNA from 2 species